AUGCAAGUCGAACGAGGUCCACUGCGUAGCAAUACAAGGGAAGACCUAGUGGCGAACGGGUGCGUAACACGUGAGGAACUUGUCCCCGGUCUCUGGGAUAACAGUUGGAAACGACUGCUAAUACCGGAUGACGUCGGAAUCUCGCAUGGGAUACUGACGAAAGGGUUACUGGAUCGGGAGAGCCUCGCGGCCUAUCAGCUUGUUGGUGAGGUAACGGCUCACCAAGGUAUCGACGGGUAGCUGGUCUGAGAGGAUGAUCAGCCACACUGGGACUGAGACACGGCCCAGACUCCUACGGGAGGCAGCAGUGGGGAAUCUUGCGCAAUGGGCGAAAGCCUGACGCAGCAACGCCGCGUGCGGGAAGAAGGCCCUCGGGUUGUAAACCGCUUUCAGUGGGAACGAAAAUGACGGUACCUGCAGAAGAAGGUGCGGCCAACUACGUG
rnacentral:rRNA from 1 species